rnacentral:rRNA from 1 species
GACGAACGCUGGCGGCGUGCUUAACACAUGCAAGUCGAGCGGUAAGGCCCUUUCGGGGGUACACGAGCGGCGAACGGGUGAGUAACACGUGGGUGACCUGCCCUCAGCUCUGGGAUAAGCCUGGGAAACCGGGUCUAAUACUGGAUAUGACUCCAUGACGCAUGUUGUGGGGUGGAAAGCCUUGUGCGGCUGAGGAUGGGCCCGCGGCCUAUCAGCUUGUUGGUGGGGUGAGGCCUACCAAGGCGACGACGGGUAGCCGGCCUGAGAGGGCGACCGGCCACACUGGGACUGAGACACGGCCCAGACUCCUACGGGAGGCAGCAGUGGGGAAUCUUGCGCAAUGGGCGAAAGCCUGACGCAGCGACGCCGCGUGAGGGAUGACGGCCUGUGUAA